rnacentral:rRNA from 1 species
GACUAACGCUGGCGGCGUGCCUAACACAUGCAAGUCGAGCGGCAGCACGGGGGCAACCCUGGUGGCGAGCGGCGAACGGGUGAGUAAUACAUCGGAACAUGCCCAGUCGUGGGGGAUAACACUUCGAAAGAAGUGCUAAUACCGCAUACGUCCUGAGGGAGAAAGCGGGGGAUCGCAAGACCUCGCGCGAUUGGAGUGGCCGAUGUCAGAUUAGCUAGUUUGUGGGGUAAAGGCCUACCAAGGCAACGAUCUGUAGCUGGUCUGAGAGGAUGAUCAGCCACACUGGGACUGAGACACGGCCCAGACUCCUGCGGGAGGCAGCAGUGGGGAAUAUUGGACAAUGGGCGAAAGCCUGAUCCAGCCAUGCCGCGUGUGUGAAGAAGGUCUUCGGAUUGUAAAGCACUUUAAGUUGGGAGGAAGGGCAGUAAGCUAAUACCUUGCUGUUUUGACGUUACCGACAGAAUAAGCACCGGCUAACUCUGUGCCAGCCGCCGCCGUAACAC